rnacentral:lncRNA from 1 species
UCUGCCUAUAGAGGCCUGGGGUCCCUUUGGCAGCACUUUUCUCAAGAAAGUAGAGUCGUGGACAACCAACUGCACAGGUUGGGAGGCUUUGAAGAACAAGCUGCCAUGAAUCCUGCAGCUACAAGGAAAUGAACUCUAUUAACUUGAGUGAGCUUAAAACUAGAUCCUUCCCCAGUCAAGCCUCCAGGUGAGAAUUCAAUCCUGGCUGGCACCUGGAUUGCAGCUUACAGAAGACCCAGCUAAGGCCAUGUCUGGACUUUAAAUCCACAGGAACUGCAAGAUGGUAUCAGAAGUGGGACCUGCAGUGGGGCAUCUAGCAACCCCCAGGAGCAUUGAGUGACCAGGCUUGGGACCCACCGGGCGCAGGGUGUCCAUUGUUCUCUCGAAGCAACUGAGAAUUGUGGAUAUUCUUCAUUAUUCCAUCAUCAUCUCAAACCUCUUGGGUAUAGUGUUUGACUACUACUGUGACCAUAAAUUCCAAUAAAACCUAGGAAAAAUGAAACCACUACAUUAACUGAAAGGAUGAAAGAAGCUUUCGUAUUUAUGUGCUGCAUGUAUUAUUCAGAAGGAAGAUGAUUCCAAGUCAUGUUAUUUCCAAGGAAGCAACAAUAACUUCACUGGACCCCUGCUGAUCUUAAAGUGCAGCAUGAAAAACAGUCUUGGAGACUUCUAGAGAUGUCCAAAGUAUGCCUACGGGGAGCAAUAGGGAUACCAGGAGAAUCUGAUGAACUAUGCCUGACAAAGGAGAGGCUCUGCUGAAUAUGGAAGGGUGUAAACAGUAGAACGAACCUGGACCAUUGAACCCCUGAAUUAUCCAACCAUCUUACUUCUGGACUUCUUAUUUUGUGACUAAAAAUUCCUUUUGAAAUGAGAGUUAUUUGUGAUUGAGAUCUGGUUUACUUAAGAGCCAAAAAACAGAUGUAUUUGCAUUUUGCCAUCAUUGGAAAUAUGCCCUUACCCAGAAUUCAUUCCAAAGUAAAGUCAGAGCAUAAGGAAAAUAGAAGUUCUCGGUGAUGCUGGCAGAGUGAAUAGAUUACAUCCAUGUUAUUAUGAGAGUCUGAAUCUGAACAUUGAAUCUGACCCUUCUGAGAGGACACUACACCACUAGAGGGAAUCAAACAGAAGAUACAAAAUUUCUGCUCUCAGUUCUUCAUUGCUGCUUCCGGUGAGCUUCAACUGUGGUGAAGAAAGAAACCCACAUACCUAACAACAACAUAAGAGAGAAAGAAAAAAAUACAUUUAGCAAAGGUACAAGCAACAUGUUACAUGAUCACUGAGGAAGAAGCAGAUGUGUUAAAGUGUAAAAAGGAAGCUGUGAAAGAGAUAUCAAAAAUAGGAGGAAGAGAGAGAGAGAAAAUGAAAGAAGAUGUGUAAUCCUGGGCUCUAGCUACAUGGCCUCUGAUGUGGUGAACUGCAGACAGAGCAGUGUGGCAGCUGAAUGACAAACGCAGCAAACUGGAACAACAUGAACCCUCCGUAACUUUAACAUCAUAGCUGAUUAAGUUUUCUGGCAUGUAAAAUGCAUCCACUGUGAGAAAUUCUGUAUCUCAGACAUGACUCACUGUUUAGCAUGUUUAUACCAUUAGGAAAUACUAAAGAUGUUUCCUCAAGCGUAUGAUUGUAUUAUAAGAGCACAUGUAAAAGCACUUAUUUUGAUAGUAAAGAGUGGCUAC